AAACUCAAAGGAAUUGACGGGGGCCCGCACAAGCGGAGGAACAUGUGGUUUAAUUCGAUGAUACGCGAGGAACCUUACCCGGGCUAGAACGCAGGGGAAAUGGCAGGGAAACUUGUCAGCCAGCAAUGGUCGCCUGCGAGGUGCUGCAUGGUUGUCGUCAGCUCGUGCCGUGAGGUGUCGGCUUAAGUGCCAUAACGAGCGCAACCCUUAUUGUUAGUUGCCAGCGGGUAAAGCCGGGGACUCUAGCAAAACUGCCAGCGUAAGCUGUGAGGAAGGUGGGGAUGACGUCAAAUCAGCACGGCCCUUACGUCCGGGGCGACACACGUGUUACAAUGGAUGGUACAGAGGGUCGCUACCACGCGAGUGGAUGCUAAUCUUCAAAGCCAUUCUCAGUUCGGAUCGAAGUCUGCAACUCGACUUCGUGAAGCUGGAUUCGCUAGUAAUCGCGCAUCAGCCAUGGCGCGGUGAAUACGUUCCCGGGCCUUGUACACACCGCCCGUC
rnacentral:rRNA from 1 species